rnacentral:tRNA from 1 species
AAGGAUUUAAGUUAAAUAUAAACUUUUAACCUUCAAAGUUAAAUAUAGAUUAGAUCUAAGCCUUA